AGUUUCUAAAAAAGCAUAGGAGCGGAUGGUUACCCCUGCAAGGUUCAAAGGUUUUUAAAGCAAAGAAGGAAAAUGUUCUCACUGACAUCACUUCAGCCCCAUCAUCCUACUUUCCCAUGGGGCGUAUUCCAUAUGCGGUUAAGAUAUAAUGGAGUCCGAAGACUAGGUGUGGUGGCAACUGUCAAAUAAAGGAAAGGCAGGGAGAAGGGAAGCUGGCCUUGUCAGGGCUAUGUCACACUCUAUACAGUAAUUUCCUCUGAGCUGGCUGAGUCCUUGGGCAAACUUUGCUUUUGGUAACAGUUGCAAAAUGUUACACACAAUGAAGAUCAUUUUUUCCCCUUUUUCCUAUUGUCCUUUUGUCACUGAAGUGGCCUAAAUUGGCCAACAGUGAGCUUUUAUAUAUUUAUUUUUUAAAAAAAAUUUCCAGUAAAGCACUCCAACAUGUUACUAAUUCCUGAGUCCUAGGUUUAAUGGCCUUCCACUUAAGGUGCAGAUUUGUUGACAUGGAAAUAGUCACACAGCCUAUGUUCUCUUGUACAAGCAUUGCCAGUUCAUUGUGAUAAGUCAUAAACUGCGACUAUGCUUCAAAGCCCGGAAUCCUGACCACCCAUUUCAAUUAAAUUAUUUGAUUCAGGAUCUUUUUCUUUUCUUUUAAACAUGACUACCCUAAUUGUGCACAGUAAGUUCUGAGUACCAGUGUUCAGAGAGGCGGGGAUUGUAGGAUGUACCAAUGGCAAAAUAGUCAUUAUAGCAGAAUUGGAUCUGAUAUAAAUAACCUUUCCCCAUGACAAACACUGUUUGUAAUAAAAUAGCAACUGCAUGUGUUUCUUCAUAUAUGGCUAUGAAGCUUAUUUGAAAAAAGUCAGUCAGUAAACCAUGUGGUCCUCAGACAUAUUUUUCCUGGUGUUUUUUCCCACUACAUACAUAGGUAAAAGAAUAAAUGAACUAGUUUUGGUCAGAGCAACCCAGGUCAUGUGGCUUUGAUAGCUAACAAUGACUAGUGGAAACCAAGAUGAAUGAUGAUUUUUCAUCAAGCCAACAGGUUCCUUCUUUCCCUUCGAAGAGGAUUCCAUUGUGAUUUUGCCUACAUUGCAUAAUCCUGCGUGUGCCUGCUUACGUAAACAUUAUGGUAAUAGCUGAGGUUAGUCAACCUUUCCAUGUUACACUCAAUUUUCUCAGAAGCUUGUAACUCUACUGUGAAACUUGGCAUGGGCAGAAGAUUGGCAUGAGAGUUCCAUCUGGAAGGCAGCUUUGUAUGGGCAACAUUUGAUAAAUCUGUUCAGUGGUUUUCAAAU